GAUGAACGCUAGCGGCAGGCUUAAUACAUGCAAGUCAAGGGGGUAGCAAUACAACCGGCGCACGGGUGAGUAACGCGUACACAACAUGCCAUAUACUGGGGUAUAGCUUUGGGAAACUGAAGGUAAUCCCCCAUAGUAUUGCGGGUAGGCAUCUAUCUGCAAUUAAAGUUUCGACGGUAUAUGAUUGGUGUGCGUUCCAUUAGCUAGUUGGUAGGGUAACGGCCUACCAAGGCGAAGACGGGUAGGGGACCUGAGAGGGUGACCCCCCACAAUGGAACUGAAACACGGUCCAUACACCUACGGGUGGCAGCAGUAGGGAAUAUUAGAAAUGGACGAAAGUCUGAUCUAGCAACACCGCGUGUGCGAAGAAGGCCUUCGGGUCGUAAAGCACUUUUUGGAAGGAAUAGGAAGGAAUGUACUUCCAGAAUAAGUCUCGGCUAACUACGUGCCAGCAGCCGGGUAAGCUAGUCUACG
rnacentral:rRNA from 1 species